UUACGGUCAUAUUACGCGGAAACACCGGUUCCGGUGCGCCCACCGAAGUUGAGCAUCAUACAGCCUUGUCAGUACCUCGAUGGGUGACCGCUUGGGAAUACCAAGUGUU